UCGAGUCUCUCUCUUCCUCUGAAUUCUUUCUCUCGCUGGUUCACGAACUUGGUUGUUAGCAAGCAUGAGUUGGACCUCUCCCAUGUGCUCGUGCAUCGGAUCGAGCUCCCGUCGCGAGGAAUGGAGCCCCAGUCACCGGAGCCGACGCCGGAGCACCUUGUUCGUCGCGGACUUGCACCAGGUGGGGCGGAUCUCAUCGCUGGCUUCGUCCUUUCCCCGCUGUGAGCAGUUCCUCCCGAUCUGAUCUUCUUUCUUUUCUAGAUCCGCCAGGAGGAAUACCAACGCUAUUUAGAGUAUCCAUUCUGGUUUCAGUUCGAAUCAUAGUUAGCGCUACCUAGUUUUGCCAUGGGAUCCAUCAGUGCAUAUUAUAUUUUUAGGAAUUUUUUCUCCAGCGCAACAGCUUCUGUCAUAUUUUUGAUGUGCUGUUUUGUCAAUUUUGACACAACCACUUAAUUAGUCUGGUGGUAGGGCUAUUAAUGUCCACCCAAGGGAUUUGGGUUUCAAAUCCUAGCAAUUUCAUUUUUUCUUAUUUUGGACAGAUUCAAAUGCCCUUUUGUAAAAUUCGUAUAAAUUUAACCGUGCACCAGAUUAAAAUGAUUUCAACAUGUAAGUUGCUUAGAAUUUUCUGUAGUUUCACAAAAACCAACUCUCAUGCAUAUUUAAAUUUGAUAGGUGUGCUGUUUGCUUCGAUUUGCAUGUCGACGUGUUAAAAACGGUUUAGGUCGUAACUGUUUGUCUGUAGCUUCGUUGUACUUGUGUCAUAUAUGUAAAUGGACCAGAAUGAUGAGUAAAAUCACGUGUUCCACUUUGUUUCUCCGUUUAACAAACAUAAAAUGUGAUUAGGACAAAUCUGGACAGAAUUAAGAUUUAACACGUGGGGUCAUUUCGGAGAUGCUAUAUGUCGUUUCCGACCUCAUUUGAAAUGUCUAGAUAGGUAGAUUAAUUGCACUUCACCUCUUGCCAUGUUUAAUCACAUUUAAUAUUGUCGUGUAUCUACUCGGGAUGGAACUAAAUAAAUAAACGUGGAGUUUCGUCAAUAUGCAACUCGUUGCAUAUUGAACUUCACUUAAUGUGUAGUGUUUGAUUGUGUGAAUUGUCAUGUCGUGACUUGCAUGUAUUCAGCUGCUCAUGCAUCAUAUGUGUUGUGCAUCGUGUGGUGAAUUCCAUGUGUUGAUUUGUGUUUCCGGUUCUCCGCGUCUCGAUAGAGUUCCGCAAGCGUGUCGGAUUGUGAGGACCCGUUCGACUUCGU
rnacentral:lncRNA from 1 species